rnacentral:rRNA from 1 species
UACGUAGGUGGCAAGCGUUGUCCGGAUUUACUGGGCGUAAAGAGCGCGCAGGCGGUCGUCCAAGUCGCGUGUGAAAGCCCCCGGCUCAACUGGGGAGGGUCACGCGAUACUGGUCGACUCGAAGGCAGGAGAGGAUCGCGGAAUUCCCGGUGUAGAGGUGAAAUUCGUAGAUAUCGGGAGGAACACCGGUGGCGAAGGCGGCGAUCUGGGUAGAUACUGACGCUGAGGUGCGAAAGCGUGGGGAGCAAACAGG